CGAAUGGGGAAACCCAGUGUGUUUCGACACACUAUCAUUAACUGAAUCCAUAGGUUAAUGAGGCGAACCGGGGGAACUGAAACAUCUAAGUACCCCGAGGAAAAGAAAUCAACCGAGAUUCCCCCAGUAGCGGCGAGCGAACGGGGAGGAGCCCAGAGCCUGAAUCAGUGUGUGUGUUAGUGGAAGCGUCUGGAAAGGCGCGCGAUACAGGGUGACAGCCCCGUACACAAAAAUGCACAUAUUGUGAGCUCGAUGAGUAGGGCGGGACACGUGGUAUCCUGUCUGAAUAUGGGGGGACCAUCCUCCAAGGCUAAAUACUCCUGACUGACCGAUAGUGAACCAGUACCGUGAGGGAAAGGCGAAAAGAACCCCGGCGAGGGGAGUGAAAAAGAACCUGAAACCGUGUACGUACAAGCAGUGGGAGCCUCUUAAUGGGGUGACUGCGUACCUUUUGUAUAAUGGGUCAGCGACUUAUAUUCUGUAGCAAGGUUAACCGAAUAGGGGAGCCGAAGGGAAACCGAGUCUUAACUGGGCGUUAAGUUGCAGGGUAUAGACCCGAAACCCGGUGAUCUAGCCAUGGGCAGGUUGAAGGUUGGGUAACACUAACUGGAGGACCGAACCGACUAAUGUUGAAAAAUUAGCGGAUGACUUGUGGCUGGGGGUGAAAGGCCAAUCAAACCGGGAGAUAGCUGGUUCUCCCCGAAAGCUAUUUAGGUAGCGCCUCGUGAAUUCAUCUCCGGGGGUAGAGCACUGUUUCGGCAAGGGGGUCAUCCCGACUUACCAACCCGAUGCAAACUGCGAAUACCGGAGAAUGUUAUCACGGGAGACACACGGCGGGUGCUAACGUCCGUCGUGAAGAGGGAAACAACCCAGACCGCCAGCUAAGGUCCCAAAGUCAUGGUUAAGUGGGAAACGAUGUGGGAAGGCCCAGACAGCCAGGAUGUUGGCUUAGAAGCAGCCAUCAUUUAAAGAAAGCGUAAUAGCUCACUGGUCGAGUCGGCCUGCGCGGAAGAUGUAACGGGGCUAAACCAUGCACCGAAGCUGCGGCAGCGACACUAUGUGUUGUUGGGUAGGGGAGCGUUCUGUAAGCCUGUGAAGGUGGCCUGUGAGGGUUGCUGGAGGUAUCAGAAGUGCGAAUGCUGACAUAAGUAACGAUAAAGCGGGUGAAAAGCCCGCUCGCCGGAAGACCAAGGGUUCCUGUCCAACGUUAAUCGGGGCAGGGUGAGUCGACCCCUAAGGCGAGGCCGAAAGGCGUAGUCGAUGGGAAACAGGUUAAUAUUCCUGUACUUGGUGUUACUGCGAAGGGGGGACGGAGAAGGCUAUGUUGGCCGGGCGACGGUUGUCCCGGUUUAAGCGUGUAGGCUGGUUUUCCAGGCAAAUCCGGAAAAUCAAGGCUGAGGCGUGAUGACGAGGCACUACGGUGCUGAAGCGACAAAUGCCCUGCUUCCAGGAAAAGCCUCUAAGCAUCAGGUAACAUCAAAUCGUACCCCAAACCGACACAGGUGGUCAGGUAGAGAAUACCAAGGCGCUUGAGAGAACUCGGGUGAAGGAACUAGGCAAAAUGGUGCCGUAACUUCGGGAGAAGGCACGCUGAUAUGUAGGUGAAGCGACUUGCUCGUGGAGCUGAAAUCAGUCGAAGAUACCAGCUGGCUGCAACUGUUUAUUAAAAACACAGCACUGUGCAAACACGAAAGUGGACGUAUACGGUGUGACGCCUGCCCGGUGCCGGAAGGUUAAUUGAUGGGGUUAGCGGUAACGCGAAGCUCUUGAUCGAAGCCCCGGUAAACGGCGGCCGUAACUAUAACGGUCCUAAGGUAGCGAAAUUCCUUGUCGGGUAAGUUCCGACCUGCACGAAUGGCGUAAUGAUGGCCAGGCUGUCUCCACCCGAGACUCAGUGAAAUUGAACUCGCUGUGAAGAUGCAGUGUACCCGCGGCAAGACGGAAAGACCCCGUGAACCUUUACUAUAGCUUGACACUGAACAUUGAGCCUUGAUGUGUAGGAUAGGUGGGAGGCUUUGAAGUGUGGACGCCAGUCUGCAUGGAGCCGACCUUGAAAUACCACCCUUUAAUGUUUGAUGUUCUAACGUGGGCCCCUUACCGGGGUUGCGGACAGUGUCUGGUGGGUAGUUUGACUGGGGCGGUCUCCUCCUAAAGAGUAACGGAGGAGCACGAAGGUUGGCUAAUCCUGGUCGGACAUCAGGAGGUUAGUGCAAUGGCAUAAGCCAGCUUGACUGCGAGCGUGACGGCGCGAGCAGGUGCGAAAGCAGGUCAUAGUGAUCCGGUGGUUCUGAAUGGAAGGGCCAUCGCUCAACGGAUAAAAGGUACUCCGGGGAUAACAGGCUGAUACCGCCCAAGAGUUCAUAUCGACGGCGGUGUUUGGCACCUCGAUGUCGGCUCAUCACAUCCUGGGGCUGAAGUAGGUCCCAAGGGUAUGGCUGUUCGCCAUUUAAAGUGGUACGCGAGCUGGGUUUAGAACGUCGUGAGACAGUUCGGUCCCUAUCUGCCGUGGGCGCUGGAGAACUGAGGGGGGCUGCUCCUAGUACGAGAGGACCGGAGUGGACGCAUCACUGGUGUUCGGGUUGUCAUGCCAAUGGCACUGCCCGGUAGCUAAAUGCGGAAGAGAUAAGUGCUGAAAGCAUCUAAGCACGAAACUUGCCCCGAGAUGAGUUCUCCCUGACUCCUUGAGAGUCCUGAAGGAACGUUGAAGACGACGACGUUGAUAGGCCGGGUGUGUAAGCGCAGCGAUGCGUUGAGCUAACCGGUACUAAUGAACCGUGAGGCUUAACCUU
rnacentral:rRNA from 1 species